GCAAAGAAGGGAAAACAGAAGCAAAGAAAACUGUUUCAAAAGUCUUGGAAUUGCUACUGUUAAAAGGCUGCGGUUCAUUUCUGAUUUCCUCAUCUUUUGCUACAAAGGAAAAAGAAAUCCAAUGAUGUGUCUACCUUUGGUGAGAAGAAAACACGAGCAACAGCAGUGUAGAAAUUGUCAUCACACUCAAUCUUUACACCCUGAUCUACGGUAUCCAAAAAGCAGACAUUGAUUCGCGGAAAAAUCGAGUUCUCGAAAAUACAGGGAUUUGACGCGGACUCCUGAGACCUGCGCAGGCGUUGCUUAGGUUCAAAAGUUCGAAAGUCAUUGUGCAGAGAGGGCAGGAGUGAAUUAAGGCCCCGGGGACCGCGGACGCCUGGCCAGGAGACCGCCUGAAAUAUGAGCCGAACCUGUUUU
ensembl:lncRNA novel transcript